CUUGAUUCUUGCGAUCCUCUGGUCUGCUGUUGGGAGUCUGUAUAAUAUUCUUUAUUUCUGUCAGUGUAUGCUUAAUUUCUAGUUGGUCCUUUAUCACAACAUCGAGGGUCUCACUAGAUUUCUUGAGGAUCUCACUACAUUUAUUGGCGGUUUCUAGAAAAAUCUUGAAAAACCUAAAAAGUGUGGUUUUGAACUCUAUAUCCAGCAGUUUGCUUUCCUCCAUUUCUGUCAUUUGUGUCCUGUUUCUUUGUCUUGGCAUUUUUUAUGCUUUGCUGUGUCGAUAGAGUGGCUUUCUGUGCUAAGUGUCCCAAUUGCCUGAGGUAGACACUCUUGGUGCACACCCUUGUGGGCUUUGUGCACAGUCUUGUUGUAGUUAAGCCUUGAUUGUUGUAGAUAAAACUGGGAGGAUUUGACCUCCAGGACAAUUGGCUGUGAGAAUCAGCUGUAAAGCAAUGCAAGUUGCCCUGGGGCCUUGGGGCAGCUGCAGUUUGUUAAGUUAUUUUCAGAUUACAAAGGGCCGGGCCUUUCAUAUGCAGAAGCCUUGGUGCACGGCUUGGGCGGGGCGGGUCCCAGGGGAUCAACAGGGUGGGCCGAGCGAGCGAGCAGUAUGGCUGCUCUCAGUCCUGCCUUCAGAGAGAAAGCUGCCCUCGAGUUCCGACCGAUGCCAGACAGUCCCAUUUCUCCCGUAUGAGUCUGGGUACCUAGAGACUUGCCCAGAACUGGAGCUCAGAGCCUGAGACUCCCUCCCGGUUGAAAAAGACAAUCAUGUCCUCAGCCACCAGCCCUCUCCGCAUGCACCUCUGCACCUUUAUAUUUACUUCAGCACCGCACCUCCUCUGAGUCUCG